UACAGAGGUCUCAAGCGUUUGUUCGGAUUCAUUGGGCGUAAAGGGUGCGUAGGCGGCUCGAUAAGUCUGCUGUGAAAGUCCAAGGCUCAACCUUGGGAUGCCGGUGGAUACUGUCGAGCUCGAGUCCGGAAGAGGAGUGUGGAAUUCCUGGUGUAGCGGUGAAAUGCGCAGAUAUCAGGAGGAACACCAAUGGCGAAGGCAGCACUCUGGGACGUGACUGACGCUGAGACGCGAAAGCGUGGGGAGCAAACAGG
rnacentral:rRNA from 1 species